rnacentral:misc_RNA from 1 species
AAAGUCGUAACAAGGUUUCCGUAGGUGAACCUGCGGAAGGAUCAUUAAUGAAUUAAAUCGAAAGGGAGUUGUCGCUGGUCUCUCGAGGCAUCGUGCACGCUCUUCUUUCCUUCAUUCAUCUACCCCAUAUGUGCACUUACCGUAGGCCGAGAAAUUCAGCCUAUGUAUUUUAUUACACCCCAUAAAAGUUUAAUGAAUGUUUCAAAUAAGAUCGAGGACGCGAGUCUUUCGAUUUUAAUAAUAAAUUAUACAACUUUCAACAACGGAUCUCUUGGCUCUC